GCUUGGAAGCAGCCAUUCAUUUAAAGAGUGCGUAACAGCUCACUAGUCGAGGAGUCGGGCGUGGAUAAUAAUCGGGUAUCAAGUUGUCUACCGAAGCAGUGGGAUCAUUAAUAUGAUCGGUAGGGGAGCAUUCCAGUCAGCGUCGAAGGCGUACCGUGAGGUAUUCUGGAGCGUCUGGAAAAGCAAAUGUAGGUAUAAGUAACGAUAAAGGGGGCGGGAAACCCCCUCGCCGAAAGACUAAGGUUUCCUGAUCAACGCUAAUCGGAUCAGGGUCAGUCGGGUCCUAAGGCUCAGCCGAACGGCGAUGCCGAUGGCAGAAACGGUUAAUAUUCCGUUACUACCUUCAGGAGUGACGUGGAGACGCAGUAGUGACAGUGCCGCCAUCUGACGGAAUAGAUGGUUGAAGGGUGUAGGAGUCGAUCAUGGCAGGCAAAUCCACCAUGAGAUCCGAACCUGAUAGUAUGCCGCGUCCUUCGGGACAAGGCAAUAGUGCGCGUAAGCAUGCUGCCGAGAAAAUCCGCUAAACUUAAUCCUGCAGGUACCCGUACCGCAAACGGACACACGUAGUCGGGAUGAAUAUUCUAAGGCGCUUGAGUGAUUCACGGUUAAGGAACUAGGCAAACUGACCCUGUAACUUCGGGAUAAAGGGUCCCUACCCUUUUAUGGGAGGGCGCAGAGAAUCGGUCCAGGCAACUGUUUAACAAAAACACAGGGCUGUGCCAAAUCGAAAGAUCCAGUAUACAGCCUGACACCUGCCCGGUGCUGGAAGGUUAAGAGGAGAUGUCAUCGAUAAGAGAAGCGUUGAAUUGAAGCCCCAGUAAACGGCGGCCGUAACUAUAACGGUCCUAAGGUAGCGAAAUUCCUUGUCGGGUAAGUUCCGACCUGCACGAAUGGUGUAAUGAUCUGGACGCUGUCUCAACCGUGAGCUCAGUGAAAUUGUAGUAUCGGUGAAGAUGCCGAUUACCCGCGAUGGGACGAAAAGACCCCGUGAACCUUUACUAUAGCUUAUCAUUGAAUUUGGGCACGUGAUGUGUAGGAUAGGUCGGAGGCUUUGAAGCAGGUACGCCAGUAUUUGUGGAGCCGCUGUUGAAAUACGACCCUUUAUUUGUUUGGAUUCUAACCCGUGGAUACGGGGACAUUGAUUGGUGGGUAGUUUGACUGGGGUGGUCGCCUCCAAAAGCGUAACGGAGGCUUCUAAAGGUGCCCUCCGGCCGAUUGGUAACCGGCCUUAGAGUGUAAUGGCAUAAGGGCGCUUGACUGGGAGACUAACAAGUCGAUCAGGUAGGAAACUAGAGCAUAGUGAUCCGGUGUUUCCGUAUGGAAGGGACAUCGC
rnacentral:rRNA from 1 species